rnacentral:rRNA from 1 species
AUACGGAGGGGGCUAGCGUUGUUCGGAAUUACUGGGCGUAAAGGGCGCGUAGGCGGAUCGUCAAGUCAGAGGUGAAAGCCCUGGGCUCAACCUGGGAACUGCCUUUGAAACUAACGGUCUAGAGUCCGAGAGAGGAUGGCGGAAUUCCCAGUGUAGAGGUGAAAUUCGUAGAUAUUGGGAAGAACACCAGUGGCGAAGGCGGCCAUCUGGCUCGGUACUGACGCUGAGGCGCGAAAGCGUGGGGAGCAAACAGGAUUAGAAACCCCGGUAGUCC